GAGUUUGAUCAUGGCUCAGAAUGUACGCUGGCGGCACGCCUUAUACAUGCAAGUCGAACGAAGUAGUAAUACUUAGUGGCAGACGGGUGAGUAACAUGUAGGUAUCUUCCCUUUGGUGAGGAAUAACACGAGGAAACUUGUGCUAAUACCUCAUAAGUCUUUACGGAGAAAGCUUUAUGAGCCGAAGGAUGAGCCUGCACUUGAUUAGUUUGUUGGUGGGGUAAUGGCUUACCAAGACUUUGAUCAAUAGCUGAUCUGAGAGGAUGAUCAGCCACAUUGGGACUGAGACACGGCCCAAACUCCUACGGGAGGCAGCAGUAGGGAAUAUUGCACAAUGGAGGAAACUCUGAUGCAGCGAUGCCGCGUGAGUGAAGAAGGCCUUUGGGUUGUAAAGCUCUUUCGUCGGGGAAGAAAAUGACUGUACCCGAAUAAGAAGGUCCGGCUAACUUCGUGCCAGCAGCCGCGGUAAUACGAAGGGACCUAGCGUAGUUCGGAAUUACUGGGCUUAAAGAGUUCGUAGGUGGUUAAAAAAGUUGGUGGUGAAAUCCCAGAGCUUAACUCUGGAACUGCCAUCAAAACUUUUUAGCUAGAGUAUGAUAGAGGAAAGCAGAAUUUCUAGUGUAGAGGUGAAAUUCGUAGAUAUUAGAAAGAAUACCAAUUGCGAAGGCAGCUUUCUGGAUCAUUACUGACACUGAGGAACGAAAGCAUGGGUAGCGAAGAGGAUUAGAUACCCUCGUAGUCCAUGCCGUAACGAUGUGUGUUAGACGUUGGAAAUUUAUUUUCAGUGUCGCAGCGAAAGCAUUAAACACACCGCCUGGGGAGUACGACCGCAAGGUUAAAACUCAAAUGAAUUGACGGGGACCCGCACAAGUAGUGGAGCAUGUGGUUUAAUUCGAAGAUACGCGCAGAACCUUACCAACACUUGACAUGUUCGUCGCGACUUUAAGAGAUUAAAGUUUUCGGUUCGGCCGGACGAAACACAGGUGCUGCAUGGCUGUCGUCAGCUCGUGUCGUGAGAUGUUGGGUUAAGUCCCGCAACGAGCGCAACCCUCACUUUUAGUUGCCAUCAUUAAGUUGGGCACUCUGAAAGAACUGCCAGUGAUAAGCUGGAGGAAGGUGGGGAUGACGUCAAGUCCUCAUGGCCCUUACGUGUUGGGCUACACACGUGCUACAAUGGCAUUUACAAUAGGAAGCAAGAUGGCGACGUCAAGCAAAUCCUAAAAAAAUGCCUCAGUUCGGAUUGUACUCUGCAACUCGAGUACAUGAAGCUGGAAUUACUAGUAAUCGCGGAUCAGCGCGCCGCGGUGAAUACGUUCCCGGGUCUUGUACACACCGCCCGUCACACCAUGGGAGUUGGUUCUACCUUAAGGCAAGGUUUCAAACCCUUGACCACGGUAUAGUCAGCGACUGGGGUGAAGUCGUAACAAGGUAACC
rnacentral:rRNA from 1 species